rnacentral:rRNA from 1 species
GACAGAGGGGGCAAGCGUUGCUCGGAAUCACUGGGCGUAAAGGGCGCGUAGGCGGGAUGGCAAGUCAGUCGUGAAAUCUCUCGGCUCAACCGAGAAACGUCGGCUGAUACUGCCGUUCUUGAGAGAUGCAGAGGAGACUGGAAUUCCCGGUGUAGCGGUGAAAUGUGUAGAGAUCGGGAGGAACACCGGUGGCGAAGGCGGGUCUCUGGGCAUCUCCUGACGCUGAGGCGCGAAAGCGUGGGGAGCAAACGGG